rnacentral:rRNA from 1 species
UACGAAGGGGGCUAGCGUUGCUCGGAAUCACUGGGCGUAAAGGGUGCGUAGGCGGGUCUUUUAAGUCAGGGGUGAAAUCCUGGAGCUCAACUCCAGAACUGCCUUUGAUACUGGAGAGCUUGAGUCCGGAAGAGGUGAGUGGAACUCCGAGUGUAGAGGUGAAAUUCGUAGAUAUUCGGAAGAACACCAGUGGCGAAGGCGGCUCACUGGUCCGGUACUGACGCUGAUGUGCGAAAGCGUGGGGAGCAAACAGGG